rnacentral:rRNA from 1 species
AAAGUUCCCUUCGGGGAGCGAGUAGAGUGGCGCACGGGUGAGUAACACGUAGGUAAUCUACCUUUGGAUGGGGAAUAACAACCGGAAACGGUUGCUAAUACCGCAUAAUGCAGCGGCACCUAAUGGUGACAGUUGUUAAAGCGGGGGAUCGCAAGACCUCGCGUCUGAAGAGGAGCCUGCGGCGGAUUAGCUAGUUGGUAAGGUAAUGGCUUACCAAGGCUACGAUCCGUAACCGGCCUGAGAGGGCGGUCGGUCACACUGACACUGACAUACGGGUCAGACUCCUACGGGAGGCAGCAGUCGGGAAUUUUGGGCAAUGGGCGAAAGCCUGACCCAGCAACGCCGCGUGAAGGAUGAAAUCCCUCGGGAUGUAAACUUCGCAAGAACGGGAAGAAUAAGCGAGAGUUAAUAUCUUUCGUGAUGACGGUACCGUUUGUAAGCUCCGGCUAACUCCGUGCCAGCAGCCGCGGUAAUACGGGGGGAGCAAGCGUUGUUCGGAUUUACUGGGCGUAAAGGGCGCGUAGGCGGUCAGCACAAGUCAGUUGUGAAAUCUCCGGGCUUAACUCGGAAAGGUCAACUGAUACUGUGCGACUAGAGUGCAGAAGGGGCAACUGGAAUUCUUGGUGUAGCGGUGAAAUGCGUAGAUAUCAAGAGGAACACCUGCGGCGAAGGCGGGUUGCUGGGCUGACACUGACGCUGAAGCGCGAAAGCCAGGGGAGCGAACGGGAUUAGAUACCCCGGUAGUCCUGGCCUUAAACGAUGAAUGCUUGGUGUCUGGGGUUAUAAAGUCCCCGGGUG